rnacentral:rRNA from 1 species
UACGUAGGGGGCAAGCGUUGUCCGGAUCCAUUGGGCGUAAAGAGCGUGUAGGCGGCCAGGUAGGUCGGUUGUGAAAACUGGAGGCUCAACCUUCAGAGGUCGACCGAAACCAUCUGGCUAGAGUCCGGGAGAGGAGAGUGGAAUUCCUGGUGUAGCGGUGAAAUGCGCAGAUAUCAGGAAGAACACCCGUGGCGAAAGCGGCUCUCUGGAACGGUACUGACGCUGAGACGCGAAAGCGUGGGGAGCGAACAGG